rnacentral:lncRNA from 1 species
UAUAUUAAACUCGAUCCACAUAUUUGGCUAUAUAGUGAUUGGCCUAUCCAUCACCCGUGUAACAAUUUAACCCAUGUACAUGUUUAAAUCUGAAUUAAGAUGAAAUUGCGACUUCUGAUUAAAAGGUGAAAUGCAUACGGAAUCACUGCAGAUUGAUGCGGUUGUAUAAAUGUGUUCCAAUUCGGCUGGUGUAACCUUUAUACUUGAUCAGCUCUUUCAACCGAUCCAUA